rnacentral:rRNA from 1 species
CGGACGGGUGAGUAACGCGUGGGUAACCUGCCUUACACAGGGGGAUAACACUUAGAAAUAGGUGCUAAAACCGCAUAAGCGCACAGCUUCGCAUGAAGCGGUGUGAAAAACUCCGGUGGUGUAAGAUGGACCCGCGUCUGAUUAGCUUGUUGGCGGGGUAACGGCCCACCAAGGCGACGAUCAGUAGCCGGCCUGAGAGGGCGGACGGCCACAUUGGGACUGAGACACGGCUCAGACUCCUACGGAAGGCAGCAG